UACGGAAGGGGCAAGCGUUGUUCGGAAUCAUUGGGCGUAAAGGGCGCGUAGGUGGUUCUGUAUGUCUACCGUGAAAGCAUACAGCUCAACUGUAUUUUGUCGGUAGAAACUGCAGGACUUGAGGCUGGGAGGGGCUGGUGGAAUUCCCUGUGUAGCGGUGAAAUGCGUAGAGAUGGGGGAGAACACUCGUGGCGAAGGCGGCCAGCUAGACCAGUUCUGACACUGAGGCGCGACAGCGUGGGGAGCAAACGGG
rnacentral:rRNA from 1 species